rnacentral:tRNA from 1 species
GAAUUUAGGCUAAACAUAAACCACGAGCCUUCAAAGCUCUAAACAUGAGUAUAACCUCAU